rnacentral:rRNA from 1 species
GAUGAACGCUGGCGGCGUGCCUAAUACAUGCAAGUCGAGCGAACAGACGAGGAGCUUGCUCCUCUGACGUUAGCGGCGGACGGGUGAGUAACACGUGGAUAACCUACCUAUAAGACUGGGAUAACUUCGGGAAAGCGGAGCUAAUCCCGGAUAAUAUAUUGAGCCGCGUGGUUCAUUAGUGAGAGACGGUUUUGCUGUCACUUAUAGCUGGAUCCGCGCCGGAUUAGCUAGUUGGUAAGGUAACGGCUUACCAAGGCAACGAUGCGUAGCCGACCUGAGAGGGUGAUCGGCCACACUGGAACUGAGACACGGUCCAGACUCCUACGGGAGGCAGCAGUAGGGAAUCUUCCGCAAUGGGCGAAAGCCUGACGGAGCAACGCCGCGUGAGUGAUGAAGGUCUUCGGAUCGUAAAACUCUGUUAUUAGGGAAGAACAAAUGUGUAAGUAACUAUGCACGUCUUGACGGUACCUAAUCAGAAAGCCACGGCUAACUACGUG